CAGGGCUGGCGGCUGCGGCUGUUGCUGCCCCCGGCGGCGCGGCAAGGCAUCGCCACUCCCCGGUCGGGCCGGCCAUGGCGGCGCUUCACGGGGCGGCUGCCAAGGCCGGCGCCCCGCCGCAGAUCCCGGACACCCGCCGCGAGCUGGCGGAGCUGGUCAAGCGCAAGCAGGAGCUGGCGGAGACGCUGGCCAACCUCGAGCGGCAGAUCUACGCCUUCGAGGGCAGCUACCUGGAGGACACGCAGAUGUACGGCAACAUCAUCCGCGGCUGGGACCGCUACCUCACCAACCAGAAUUGUUCUCUGUCUAGGAAUUCCAACAGCAAGAAUGAUCGACGGAACAGGAAAUUCAAAGAAGCUGAGCGCCUUUUUAGCAAGUCCUCGGUCACCUCGGCUGCUGCAGUCAGUGCACUGGCAGGAGUUCAAGACCAGCUCAUUGAAAAACGGGAGCCUGGUAGCGGGACCGAGAGUGACACUUCCCCAGAUUUCCACAACCAGGAAAACGAGCCAAGUCAGGAGGAAGCGGAAGAGCUGGACGGCUCUGUUCAAGGUGUCAAGCCCCAGAAAGCCGCCUCUUCCACCUCCACAGGCAGCCACCACAGUAGCCACAAAAAACGGAAGAACAAAAACCGACACAGUCCGUCUGGCAUGUUUGAUUAUGACUUUGAGUAUGUAUAUUAGGUUAGGCUGGCACGUUUUUUAAAAAAAACAGACAAAAGCGUUAACGGAGGAUUGAUCUCAAGUUGAACAAAAAGCCCCGCACUGACUACUAGGCUCUUCCGCAGCGAAACCUCCAGGAUCGACCUCUCCCCCACUCCCCGCCCAGUAGUCCAGGCCAAGAGACUGAAUAAGCACAAUGCCAGCUCCUUUCUAGACCUACGCACCUCCUCUUGCUUGUAGCCCAGAUCUGGUGGUGAUAAUCCCUGGCUCCUGGCGCAUCUUGUUUCCUCACUGAUCGGAAAUAGAAGCCCUCUUCUCAUUGGCCGCACUUACCGUUUCAUCGUGUAUGUAAAAGAACCCCUGAGAGAUGCUCCUGUUGAUGUCUCCACGUGCCACUGCCGCCUCUUACUGAUGAUAUUGGGGGGGGGGGGUGUCUCAUGUACGUUGGGUGGUCGUCGGUUGUCUUUUUAAAAUAAAUCUUGGUAUUUAAUUUUC